rnacentral:rRNA from 1 species
UGAUUCCAUACCGAACUCAGAAGUGAAACACAAUAGCGCCGAUGGUAGUGUGGGGCUUCCCCAUGUGAGAGUAGGACAUCGCCAGGC